GACGAACGCUGGCGGCGUGCUUAACACAUGCAAGUCGAACGGAAAGGCCUGCUUUCCCUUGUGGAUUGCGGGUACUCGAGUGGCGAACGGGUGAGUAACACGUGAGUGAUCUGCCCCCAACUUGGGUAUAAGCCUGGGAAACUGGGUCUAAUUCCCGAUAGGACUGCAGGGUGGUGCCUGUGGUGGAAAACGAUUUUCUAGUGGUUGGGGAUGAGCUCGCGGCCUAUCAGCUUGUUGGUGGGGUAAUGGCCUACCAAGGCGGCGACGGGUAGCCGGCCUGAGAGGGUGGACGGCCACAUUGGGACUGAGAUACGGCCCAGACUCCUACGGGAGGCAGCAGUGGGGAAUAUUGCACAAAGGGCGGAAGCCUGAUGCAGCGACGCCGCGUGGGGGAUGACGGCCUUCGGGUUGUAAACUCCUUUCGACCGCGAGGAAGCCACCUGGUUGGAAGGGUGGUGACGGUAGUGGUAGAAGAAGCACCGGCUAACUACGUG
rnacentral:rRNA from 1 species